rnacentral:rRNA from 1 species
ACAGCAGUAGCCGCGGUAAUACAGAGGGUGCGAGCGUUAAUCGGAUUUACUGGGCGUAAAGCGUGCGUAGGCGGCUAAUUGAGUCGGAUGUGAAAUCCCCGAGCUUAACUUGGGAAUUGCAUUCGAUACUGGUUAGCUAGAGUGUGGGAGAGGAUGGUAGAAUUCCAGGUGUAGCGGUGAAAUGCGUAGAGAUCUGGAGGAAUACCGAUGGCGAAGGCAGCCAUCUGGCCUAACACUGACGCUGAGGUACGAAAGCAUGGGGAGCAAACAGGAUUAGAUACCCCAGUAGUCCCUGUCUCUUAUAC